rnacentral:lncRNA from 1 species
GGAAUUUGCUUAUAACAAUAGCUAAAGGACCGGCAUUGAUAUGGCUCCAUGUGAGGUAUUGCAUAGAAUAAAAUGCAGGUCACCUAUUUGCUAGGAAGAAAAGAGAUAGGAAAUUGCUUGGCCUGAAUUAGUCCAAUAUACAAAUCUUAAGGAAGCAUGAACCUGAUCCAUCACAUUAUAGACCAAUCCAAAUCAGGGAAUAUAUGACAUGCUGAACAACCUAUUUAGAUCUUGGAUCGGAAAGAACAAGUAUUGCGCUCCAAAACUAUAUCACUAGUAAAACAUGGGGCAACACCACACUAGAGAGGAAGCAAUAUGGGAGCAUGAGGAUGAAAUGAGAGAGAUAUCCAUAACUAUUUCAAACAUAAGCUAUGUCAAAUUUAGAGGAUGAAAUUUCUUUUAAGAACAUGUAAGCGCCUAUUACAUGAUCAUUUGUAUACAUGAGCUAAAUGUAUUAUACAAACUAAUGAUAUGUGUAAAUAAGACUAUUAUGGAAGUGAAUCCUUUGUAUAGAAGUUAUAUUAGUAAGGACUCAUUUAAUGAUAAAGAAGACCCUAAGAUGGAAUAAGAAAGGUUUGACUAAAUUGCUAGUGC